rnacentral:rRNA from 1 species
GUGUCAGCAGCCGCGGUAAUACGAGAGGUGCGAGCGUUAUUCGGAUUUAUUGGGUGUAAAGGGUGCGUAGACGGCGCGUUAAGUUUGUUGUUAAAUCCUCCGGCUCAACCGGAGAUAUGCUGCAAAUACUGGCGUGCUAGAGGAUGGAAGAGAGAAGUGGAAUUCUUGGAGUAGCGGUAAAAUGCGUAGAUCUCAAGAGGAACACCGAUGGCGAAGGCAACUUCUUGGUCCAUUCCUGACGUUGAGGCACGAAAGCGUGGGGAGCAAACAGGAUUAGAAACCCCGGUAGUCC